rnacentral:rRNA from 1 species
CAGCCGCCGCGGUAAUACAGAGGGUGCGAGCGUUAAUCGGAUUUACUGGGCGUAAAGCGUGCGUAGGCGGCUAAUUGAGUCGGAUGUGAAAUCCCCGAGCUUAACUUGGGAAUUGCAUUCGAUACUGGUUAGCUAGAGUGUGGGAGAGGAUGGUAGAAUUCCAGGUGUAGCGGUGAAAUGCGUAGAGAUCUGGAGGAAUACCGAUGGCGAAGGCAGCCAUCUGGCCUAACACUGACGCUGAGGUACGAAAGCAUGGGGAACAAACAGGAUUAGAUACCCGCGUAGUCCCUGUCUCUUAUAC